rnacentral:rRNA from 1 species
AACGUAGGAGGCGAGCGUUAUCCGGAGUUACUGGGCGUAAAGCGCGUGUAGGUGGUUGGAUACGUCUGCUGUGAAAUGUCCCGGCUUAACCGGGAGGGUGCGGCAGAUACGGUCUGACUUGAGGGUGACAGAGGAGCGUAGAAUUCCGGGUGUAGUGGUGAAAUGCGUAGAGAUCCGGAGGAACACCAGUGGCGAAGGCGACACGCUGGGCCAUACCUGACGCUAAAGCGCGACAGCAUGGGGAGCAAACGGG